AAAAUUAUGGUAUGUUUGAGACAUCAUUAGAAGGUCAGAGUACCUAGUCCUUUUUUAAUUUAGUUUUUGGAUUAGAAAAUAUAGCCAGGUGAUUGCUAGCACUGGAAAAAUAUAGAGAGGAAUAAAAUAUAGGGUACA